CUCAUACAUUCAAGGUCUUGACAACUCAUACCUCCAUUUGCCAAGGGGCCACAGGCUAAACAUUUCAAGCAUGAAACACAAAUAGCCUCAGGAUGAAUAGUAAAGUUCCUUAACUGAGGUCAAAGAAAAUGAUCACCAGUUUGCUUGCGGACACCAUUAGGCCUUUUCCACUGUGUUCAAACAAUCACUGUUGAACACUGAUUGUUUGAACACAGUUGGGGGCGUUCCUAAAACUUCUCUUUCAAACACACGACCGCUAUAGGAAUAUACGAAGCAAAUAGUUUAUUUUUUAUUUCUUUUGUAUUUCUUUAACAACAAACAUGACAACGGAGAGAAAGAAGAAUGAAAGGAGCUUUUGAAAUGCAAGAACUUUGGUGCGGCAUCUUUGUGCUGAAGUAUGCUGAUCAGUAGAACUAUUUCGGAGUGUUUUUACUCGGCCGCAGUCUUUAAACUCUACGCAGUUUAUUGUUGUUUAUCAUUUUUACAAACUUCAUUUCGAUACGCAAAUCUGCAACAAGUGGACAAACUCUUUUGAACACAAUUACGGAGGAGUAUGAAGCCGGACUCAAAGCGGCAACCUCAGGCGCUUAAGACUUUGACUUAAUUAGAUAAAUGUGGAAAAAAGGAGCACACGAGUAAAAGCUGAAAUGGACCAAAUGGAAUUGCCUGACCCUCAUGAAUUCAUCAUUUACUGAGAGGACGACUUUCUGACUAUUGGACAUAACGGAAAAAAGCCUGACUUUUUAGGAACAAUUCGGUACACUUUAUUUUCAAAAUCAUAUAAUUUUGUAUAUGAUUGCUUUGUAUUUCAUCGACUUACUUUUUAGCAAAAGAACUGGGACCCUAAUACUGUCUUUUUAUUUACAUGAUAUCAGUAUAGAAAUAUAGUAAACCCCUUCUCAAUACAUCAUCAGCCUGAUUUGAACUACCUGAACUACCCUGAACUGUGAAAUGCGAUGGAAACAUAAACCAAACACUUCUAUAGCAAUUUAUAGAUCCAGGAACCAGAGGUUCCAGGAAGCAAAAGUUCCUAAAAUUCUGGUGGGAAAGAGCCUAAUUAUUUUGUGAGCAUGAACAAGCUCACUACGAAUAUGAAUAUUAGAUUUGGGAAGCCACACUUUAGCGGGCCAAAUAAAACCACUCUGCGGGCCACAUUUGGCCCAUAAGCCCCACUUUGGGUACCCCUGGUGUAGACAUUCAUGCACGCAAACCAAAAUAUCUUUUCUUUUCUUCCUCACACUCACACACCCCAGCAUCUAAAAGUUGCUUACAAAAGUACAUGCCUCACAUUUCUGCAAAGAUUUGUGAAUUAUGAAUGACGACAAUGUAGAGAAGUCUGUGUCCAGCUUGUAUAUGAUGCUAAUACAAUAUUUUUCAUGAAAUUAAGCCUUGAUCUUGUUGACAUAGAAUUUACUAGAUUUUGUUAAUGGAAUCCUUUUCCAUUCCUCUAUGACGAAAUCACAGAGCUGGGGGUUGUUACACACAUUGUUCUCCUCCGCCUUCCGUUUGAGGAUGUUGAAAAUGUUCAGUUUAAGUCUGACUCAUGCUUCAUUAUCAAGGCAUUGGUGUUUAAAAUAGAUAACUCAAAUGAAGGUAAAAAAAACUAAAACUAUUUUUUUAAAUUAUAAAAAAAACUGCCCUGAGGCCCAGUUUCCAUGCUCUACUUCACUAUGUCACAGUUGGUAUUCCUGUUUGCCUCAAUAAACUUUUUUUUCCCAAAUGCCGAGAGCACUCGUGCAGCCCCACAA